GCGAGCGUAGUUCAAUGGUAAAAUAUCUCCUUGCCAAGGAGAAGAUACGGGUUCGAU
rnacentral:tRNA from 1 species